rnacentral:rRNA from 1 species
AAUCCUACGGGGGGCAGCAGUGGGGAAUAUUGCACAAUGGGGGAAACCCUGAUGCAGCGACGCCGCAUGAGCGAUGAAGUAUCUCGGUAUGUAAAGCUCUAUCAGCAGGGAAGAAAGUGACAGUACCUGACUAAGAAGCCCCGGCUAACUACGUGCCAGCAGCCGCGGUAAUACGUAGGGGGCAAGCGUUAUCCGGAUUUACUGGGUGUAAAGGGAGCGUAGACGGAGAAGCAAGUCUGAAGUGAAAGCCCGUGGCUUAACCACGGGACUGCUUUGGAAACUGUUUGACUAGAGUGCUGGAGAGG